AUUGCUUCUCGGCCUUUUGGCUAAGAUCAAGUAUAGUGUCUGUUCUUAUCAGUUUAAUAUCUGAUAUGUCCUCUAUCUGAGGACAAUAUAUUAAAUGGAUCUUUGGAGCUGGAAGAUGGAAUAAGAGCUUGCUCCAUCCACUUCACACAUCAACCUAGCAUUACAGUACCCCCAGGAAUGGUGCACCUCCC
ensembl:snRNA U2 U2 spliceosomal RNA